CGGUGGGUCUUAGGCGGGGGGCUAGGGGUCCUCUGAACCGUAAACCCUCUACACGACGGGCCGAAAGCUGAGGCUGAGGCGUCUAAGGCCGCUGAGACCCCCAAUCUCCGAAACAAUGACUAUCCGUCCUUUGAGGCUGGCGGUCACUGAGCAGCUUCCGUAGGGAAGCCGUCUUCGACGUUCACCAGGCGAACUUGGCCAGGCCCGGGAGGGAGCAACCUAAGUCUGGACGUUCAGCGCUCAAGGGGGUGCGGGUACGAGCGUAGGGUUUGAGGGGUCCGGCGGAUUCUGGGCGUCGAACCUCAGUGACUCACUG
rnacentral:SRP_RNA from 1 species